rnacentral:rRNA from 1 species
GAACGCUGGCGGCGUGCUUAACACAUGCAAGUCGAACGAAGCACUUUACCACGAUUCCUUCGGGAUGACGGUUUAGUGACUGAGUGGCGGACGGGUGAGUAACGCGUGGGGAACCUGCCCCAUACCGGGGGAUAACAGCCGGAAACGGCUGCUAAUACCGCAUAAGCGCACAGUACCGCAUGGUACGGUGUGAAAAACUCCGGUGGUAUGGGAUGGACCCGCGUCUGAUUAGCCAGUUGGCGGGGUAACGGCCCACCAAAGCGACGAUCAGUAGCCGGCCUGAGAGGGCGACCGGCCACAUUGGGACUGAGACACGGCCCAGACUCCUACGGGAGGCAGCAGUGGGGAAUAUUGCACAAUGGGGGAAACCCUGAUGCAGCGACGCCGCGUGAGCGAAGAAGUAUUUCGGUAUCGUAAAGCUCUAUCAGCAGGGAAGAAGGAAAUGACGGUACCUGACUAAGAAGCACCGGCUAACACGUG